rnacentral:rRNA from 1 species
UACGAACCGUCCAAACGUUAUUCGGAAUUAUUGGGCUUAAAGGGUGCGUAGGCGGCGCGGAAAGUUGGGUGUGAAAUCCCUCGGCUCAACCGAGGAAUAGCGCCCAAAACUACCGUGCUUGAGGGAGACAGAGGUAAGCGGAACUGAUGGUGGAGCGGUGAAAUGCGUUGAUAUCAUCAGGAACACCAGUGGCGAAAGCGGCUUACUGGGUCUCUUCUGACGCUGAGGCACGAAAGCUAGGGUAGCGAACGGG